rnacentral:rRNA from 1 species
UACCUAGUUAAUUUUACUAAUAGUUAUAUACUUAUUUUAAAAAUUAAGUUAUAUAUAUCUAAGUUUAAAUAAUUUUAUUAUAAAACUACGAAUAGCUUAUUAUAUAAGUUAUUGUUUAUUUAAUAGUACCUUACUAUAUAGAUAACCGUAGUAAUUCUAGAGCUAAUAUAUACUAAAAACCUCGACUUCGGAAGAGGUAUAUUUAUUAAAUUAAAAACCAAUACCCUUCGGGGCUUACUAGUAAUUUAUAAUAACCUCUCGAAUUACAUAGCCUUACGCCGGCGAUAGUUUAUUUAAAUUUCUUCCUUAUUAACUUUCGAUACUAGAGUAGUAUUUUAAUAUAGUUAUAACGGGUAACAGAGGGUUAGGGCUCGACCCCGGAAAAAGAGCUUAAAAAACGGCUACUAUAUCUAAAAAAAGUAAUAAGCACGCAAAUUACCCAAUCCCGAUACGGGGAGGUAGUAACAAUAAAUACUAAUACAGGGCUCUUUUAGGUCUUAUAAUUAAAAUAAGUAUAAUUUAAAUCCCUUAACAAAGAAUAAUUAGAGGGCAAGUCUAGUACUAGUAGCCGCGGUAAUUCUAGCUCUAAUAGUAUAUAUUAAAGUUAUUAUAGUUAAAAAGCUCGUAAUAAAACCUUAGGCCUAGCUAGCCGGUCCGCCUUACCGCGUAUACUAGUCCGGCCGGGCCUUUUUCUCUAUAGAAUUAUAUACCCUUUACUAAGUAUACCAGGGAAACAGGACUUUUACUUUAAAAAAAUUAAAGUACUCCAGGCAGGCCUUUGCUCAAAUACAUUAGUAUAAAAUAAUAAAAUAAGACGUAUAGUUCUAUUUUAUUAGUUUCUAAGACCGCCGUAAUAAUUAAUAAGGACAGUCGGGGGCAUUAGUAUUCAAUUAUCAGAGGUAAAAUUCUUAGAUUUAUUAAAGACUAACUACUACGAAAGCAUUUACUAAGGAUGUUUUCAUUUAUUAAGAACGAAAGUUAGGGGAUCGAAGACGAUUAAAUACCGUCAUAGUUUUAACUAUAAACUAUACUAACUAGGGAUCGGACGAUAUUAUUUUUUAACUCGUUCAGUACUUUAUAAAAAAUUAAAGUGCUUAGGCUCUAGGGGGAGUAUAGUCAUAAAGCUAAAACUUAAAAAAAUUAACGGAAGGGUACUACUAAGGGUAGAGCCUGUAGCUUAAUUUAACUUAACACAGGGAAACUUACUAAGUCUAGAUAUAAUAAAGAUUAACAGAUUAAGAGCUCUUUCUUAAUUUUGUAGGUAGUAGUAUAUAGCCGUUCUUAGUUAGUAAAGUGAUUUAUCUACUUAAUUAUAAUAACGAACGAGACUUUAACUUACUAAAUAGCCCGUAUUACUUUAGUAGUACGCUAGCUUUUUAAAAGGACUAUUAGCUUAAACCGAUAGAAAUUUAAAGUAAUAAUAGGUCUAUAAUACCCUUAGAUAUUCUAGGCCGCACGCGCAUUAUACUAACGGAGCUAGCGAGUUCUCUUUUAACUAAAAGGCCCGGGUAAUCUUAUUAAACUCCGUCGUACUAAGGAUAGAGCAUUAUAAUUAUUACUCUUUAACGAGGAAUCCCUAAUAAGCGUAAGUUAUUAGCUUAUGUUAAUUACGUCCCUACUCUUUAUAUAUACCGCCCGUCGCUAUUACUAAUUAAAUAGCUUAGUAAGGCUUUCGGACUAGCUUAGAGAAGUAGGUAACCGCUACUUAGGGUUAGAAAGUUAUCUAAACUCGGUUAUUUAGAAGAAAUAAAAAUCGUAAUAAGGUUUUUAUUAGUAAACUAGCGGAGGGAUUAUUA